rnacentral:rRNA from 1 species
UAACGCGUAAACAACCUGCCCUUCGGAUGGGGAUAACAGCCGGAAACGGCUGCUAAUACCGAAUACGAUCUUUUCGUCGCAUGACGGAAAGAAGAAAGGAUGGCCUCUAUACAAAGCUAUCGCCGAAGGAGGGGUUUGCGUCUGAUUAGCUGGUUGGAGGGGUAACGGCCCAACAAGGCGAUGAUCAGUAGCCGGUCUGAGAGGAUGAACGGCCACAUUGGGACUGAGACACGGCCCAGACUCCUACGGGAGGCAGCAGCU